GAUUUGGAGCCCUGAGGUUUUGGUCACGCUAUUCACACACAAUAACUGACACCUAAUGCACACUCAACAGAGGCAGAAGAACUGAGUGGUUUGAGUGUGCGCUCUGAAGUCAGAGAUUUGGUUUCAAGUGUUGACUCUGUAAACUUGGAUAUGGACCCUUGGGCAGGUGAACAUCCCUUAAUCCUCUUCCCUAAGAUGACAUUUUCACCAGUAUUAUUAGGAAGGAUGGGAACAGGGCUCGCAUCUUUAAUUCACUGAGAUCUGUGUGUGGCUGAGAACACUGACGUGCCUGCGGGCAUAUGGCUUACAAUGUGGAGAUGGAUCUUAUUGCUGCUGGAAGCAUCCCUGAAGCCUAGAGAUAUCCCUCGCUCUCCUUUGGAUGUAGAGACAAGCAGAUCUGCGGAUGCAAGAUG
rnacentral:lncRNA from 1 species